CACUAUCGUUAACUGAAUACAUAGGUUAACGAGGCGAACCGGGGGAACUGAAACAUCUAAGUACCCCGAGGAAAAGAAAUCAACCGAGAUUCCCCCAGUAGCGGCGAGCGAACGGGGAGCAGCCCAGAGUCUGAAUCAGCUUGUGUGUUAGUGGAACGGUCUGGAAAGUCCGACGGUACAGGGUGAUAGUCCCGUACACCAAAAUGCACAGGCUGUGAACUCGAAGAGUAGGGCGGGACACGUGGUAUCCUGUCUGAAUAUGGGGGGACCAUCCUCCAAGGCUAAAUACUCCUGACUGACCGAUAGUGAACCAGUACCGUGAGGGAAAGGCGAAAAGAACCCCGGCGAGGGGAGUGAAAAAGAACCUGAAACCGUGUACGUACAAGCAGUGGGAGCACCUUCGGGUGUGACUGCGUACCUUUUGUAUAAUGGGUCAGCGACUUAUAUUCUGUAGCAAGGUUAACCGUAUAGGGGAGCCGCAGGGAAACCGAGUCUUAACUGGGCGUUAAGUUGCAGGGUAUAGACCCGAAACCCGGUGAUCUAGCCAUGGGCAGGUUGAAGGUUGGGUAACACUAACUGGAGGACCGAACCGACUAAUGUUGAAAAAUUAGCGGAUGACUUGUGGCUGGGGGUGAAAGGCCAAUCAAACCGGGAGAUAGCUGGUUCUCCCCGAAAGCUAUUUAGGUAGCGCCUCGUGAAUUCAUCUUCGGGGGUAGAGCACUGUUUCGGCUAGGGGGUCAUCCCGACUUACCAACCCGAUGCAAACUACGAAUACCGAAGAAUGUUAUCACGGGAGACACACGGCGGGUGCUAACGUCCGUCGUGAAGAGGGAAACAACCCAGACCGCCAGCUAAGGUCCCAAAGUCAUGGUUAAGUGGGAAACGAUGUGGGAAGGCACAGACAGCCAGGAUGUUGGCUUAGAAGCAGCCAUCAUUUAAAGAAAGCGUAAUAGCUCACUGGUCGAGUCGGCCUGCGCGGAAGAUGUAACGGGGCUAAACCAUGCACCGAAGCUGCGGCAGCGACACUAUGUGUUGUUGGGUAGGGGAGCGUUCUGUAAGCCUGCGAAGGUGUGCUGUGAGGCAUGCUGGAGGUAUCAGAAGUGCGAAUGCUGACAUAAGUAACGAUAAAGCGGGUGAAAAGCCCGCUCGCCGGAAGACCAAGGGUUCCUGUCCAACGUUAAUCGGGGCAGGGUGAGUCGACCCCUAAGGCGAGGCCGAAAGGCGUAGUCGAUGGGAAACAGGUUAAUAUUCCUGUACUUGGUGUUACUGCGAAGGGGGGACGGAGAAGGCUAUGUUAGCCGGGCGACGGUUGUCCCGGUUUAAGCAUGUAGGCUGGUUGUCCAGGCAAAUCCGGAUAAUCAAGGCUGAGGUGUGAUGACGAGGCACUACGGUGCUGAAGUAACAAAUGCCCUGCUUCCAGGAAAAGCCUCUAAGCAUCAGGUAACAUCAAAUCGUACCCCAAACCGACACAGGUGGUCAGGUAGAGAAUACCAAGGCGCUUGAGAGAACUCGGGUGAAGGAACUAGGCAAAAUGGUGCCGUAACUUCGGGAGAAGGCACGCUGGUGUGUAGGUGAAGUCCCUGCGGAUGGAGCUGAGACCAGUCGAAGAUACCAGCUGGCUGCAACUGUUUAUUAAAAACACAGCACUGUGCAAACACGAAAGUGGACGUAUACGGUGUGACGCCUGCCCGGUGCCGGAAGGUUAAUUGAUGGGGUUAUCCGUAAGGAGAAGCUCUUGAUCGAAGCCCCGGUAAACGGCGGCCGUAACUAUAACGGUCCUAAGGUAGCGAAAUUCCUUGUCGGGUAAGUUCCGACCUGCACGAAUGGCGUAAUGAUGGCCAGGCUGUCUCCACCCGAGACUCAGUGAAAUUGAACUCGCUGUGAAGAUGCAGUGUACCCGCGGCAAGACGGAAAGACCCCGUGAACCUUUACUAUAGCUUGACACUGAACAUUGAGCCUUGAUGUGUAGGAUAGGUGGGAGGCUUUGAAGCGUGGACGCCAGUCUGCGUGGAGCCAACCUUGAAAUACCACCCUUUAAUGUUUGAUGUUCUAACGUUGGCCCCUGACCGGGGUUGCGGACAGUGUCUGGUGGGUAGUUUGACUGGGGCGGUCUCCUCCCAAAGCGUAACGGAGGAGCACGAAGGUUAGCUAAUCCUGGUCGGACAUCAGGAGGUUAGUGCAAUGGCAUAAGCUAGCUUGACUGCGAGCGUGACGGCGCGAGCAGGUGCGAAAGCAGGUCAUAGUGAUCCGGUGGUUCUGAAUGGAAGGGCCAUCGCUCAACGGAUAAAAGGUACUCCGGGGAUAACAGGCUGAUACCGCCCAAGAGUUCAUAUCGACGGCGGUGUUUGGCACCUCGAUGUCGGCUCAUCACAUCCUGGGGCUGAAGUAGGUCCCAAGGGUAUGGCUGUUCGCCAUUUAAAGUGGUACGCGAGCUGGGUUUAGAACGUCGUGAGACAGUUCGGUCCCUAUCUGCCGUGGGCGCUGGAGAAUUGAGGGGGGCUGCUCCUAGUACGAGAGGACCGGAGUGGACGCAUCACUGGUGUUCGGGUUGUCAUGCCAAUGGCACUGCCCGGUAGCUAAAUGCGGAAGAGAUAAGUGCUGAAAGCAUCUAAGCACGAAACUUGCCCCGAGAUGAGUUCUCCCUGAGACUUUAAGUCUCCUGAAGGAACGUUGAAGACGACGACGUUGAUAGGCCGGGUGUGUAAGCGCAGCGAUGCGUUGAGCUAACCGGUACUAAUGAACCGUGAGGCUUAACCUUACAACGCCGAAG
rnacentral:rRNA from 1 species